rnacentral:lncRNA from 1 species
GUCUCCUCAAACAGGAAGUGGCAAUGCCCGAGUUACUAGUUUGUGGACAACGGAUUUUAUUAAACACUACUGGGGUUUAUACGGGUACUGAAAAACUGUGACUCUGUAGUACCCGACCAUCUGUUCCGCUGGACAGCGGCUGGUGGAGUCAGCAGCCGCCUCAGACACCUCUCCCGACUGCGGUCGUUCACUGUCUGUGGCGUAAACCCUGAGAUCAUCACCCUCCCUACUCCCAGGCCUUCCCCGUUUCAUUAUUUCUAUCAAAGGGAGUUGGGGCUGGGCCUGUGGGUGCACAGCACCUUGGACCUUCGGCUUCAUGGUGUCUUCCUUAUCUUCUCAGAACUUGGGCCCAGGUCACUUAGGUGUGUCAAUCACUUAGGAGCUAGUAUGACGUUUAUCAGCCCUAAAUUUACAGCCAUCUCCCUGCCCUUCAAGGCCGAAGACUGCCAGACGAGAGCAGGCCGCUUUCAGGGUUUGCAGGGCCGUUCAGCGGUGUUCACGGCGCUCCCCUCCAGACCCCUUGGCGCGGCAUCCGGAAGCCUUCCGUCGCUGUCCCGAUCUUUCUCUGAACUUUAGACUUGCAUAUGGAAUAUAUAUUUAACAUCCACUUCGUUGUCCAAAGCAACCUUCCAGGCCUCUCCCCCACUGAACAAGGAAAGAAGUUUAUCCUUCCGCACCCGCCCCUUCAGCAGAGGACACCUGAGGCCCUCUUUGUCCUGGCUUCCUUACUCGUCGCAGCAAAACCUCGGCUGUGCAGCCCUCACCCAAGCCCAGGCACCUGCAGCCCCCACUGCCUGUUGCGGUGGAACCUGGAGGUCUCCUGCCCUCGCGGCCCCAGUCCUCUGCACAGUCAGCGAUCCGUUGGAAACCCAGGCUGGCCUUGAAUUGAAGCAAUCUUCCUGCCUCAGCUUGCAAAGCGCUGGGAUUACAGCUAUGUGUCAUCAUGCCUGGCGGCAGUCUUUGCAUUCUUGAUAAAAGAAUUCAGUGAAGAUACAGACAAGUGUUGUGAAAGAAAGGCAGAAUUUAUUGUAAAGUGAAGCAGUUCAUGGUGAAAGUACACCCCCAAGGGAAAGGGCAUCGAGGGCCCAGAUGGCAGUUGGGCUGAAUGAAAGUUUAAAUUUUAUUUCCAUAAUUUUGUUAGAAUAUUCUGCCUUUGCUGGUCUAUUCAAUUCUCAUUCGUCCUUUCAAAGGCUAGCUGGGUGUGGUGGUGCAUGCCUGUAAACGAAGCACCCGGGAGGCUGAGGCAGGAGGAUCACUGUGAGUUCAAGGCCAGCAUGGGCUACAUAAGGCCAGCCUGAACUAUAUAGUGAGCCCCUGUCCCCUCCCCCAAAAAAGAAAGAAAAGAAAAAGAAAUCAGUGG